AUAUACGAAACACACUACUACAGCAGCCUAUGAGAGGAGACAUGGCUGAUUGCUUUGCACUGGGUAACCAGUUAGUGUGUGCUUCCCCGGAGAAGACCACUUCUCCUGCUCCCAGUUUCCUUCAAUUGCCUGUAGUUUGUUGUGUAGGGAUGAGACCUUGUAUGGAGAGCAGCACAGUCACAAUGCCAGCUUUCUUCCUGCUGAGCUUCAUUGCUGCAGCUUUGGAUUCUACAAGACUUGUCUCGAGUCUCACUCUGAAGCCUAGGCUGACCUCCACCUCUGCCUACUGAGUGUGAGAAACACGGGCAUCAGCCAUCACACCUGGUUUUAUUUGAGGUAAAUCAAGUCUUUGUUCUUGGGAAGCAGACAAGCACAGAUACAAUGUGUAUCAAGAAUAGAUGUGGAGGUUUGAACGGCAGUGGGCACAUAGGGCUUCAAAACUGUGUUGAGCAUUUCAGGCUUAGAUCAACAGUUAAUUAAUGGGACCUCAUGAAACCAAAAGGCUUCUAUAGGGCAAAGAGCACUUUCAAAGGGACAAAAUGGCAGUUUGCAGAAUGGGGAAGCUCUUUGCUAACCCUACAUUUGACACAGGGCUGAUACCCAAAAUAUACCAAGAACUCAAGAAAAUAGACAUCAACAAAUGAAAUAAUCCAAUUAAAAAUUGGGGUACAUUGUUAAACAGAGAAUUCUCAGCAAAGGAAUGGCUGAGAUGCACUUAAAGAAAUGUUCAAUAUCCUUAGUCAUCGGGGUAAUUCAAAUCAAAGACUCUGAGAUUUCAUCUUACAGCCACCAGACUGGCUAAGAUCAAAAACUCAAGUGGCAGCUCAUGCCAGCAAGAAUGUGGAGCAAGGGGACAUUCCUCCAGUACUGGUGGGCAAAUAAACUCAUACAACCACUUUGAAAAUCAAUUUAGCAGUUUCUCAGAAACUGGGAAUAGUUCUACCUCAAAACCAAGCUGGUCCAAAAGAUGCCUCACCAAACCACAAGGGCACUUGCUCCAUUAUGUUCAUAGCAGCUUUGUUCAUAAUAGCCAGAGACUGGAAACAAUCUGCAUGUCCCUCAACUGAAGAAUGGUUAAAGAAAAUGUGAUUCAUUUACACAAUGAGAUGCUACUCAGCUAUUAAAAACAAGGACACCAUGAAAUUUGUAGGCAAAUGGAUGGAACUAGAAAAUAUUCUGAGUAAAGUUACCUGGACCCAGACCUGUCUCUGGCCUCUCCUCUGUCCCGUGUUCCUAGCCAGCCUCUUCCUCCUCUGUCUCUGUCUCUGUCUCUCUGCCUCUCUCUCUGUCUUUCUGUCUCUCUCUGUCUCUGUCUAUCUGUCUGUCUGUCUGUCUGUCUGUCUGUCUCUCAAUUUCUCUCUGUGUGCCCUUCUUGUCCCCUCUCUUUCUCGGCCUCUACUACCUUCUCAAUCUCCCUUCCCAUGCUCCCAAAUAAACUCUAUUUCAU
rnacentral:lncRNA from 1 species